UGUAUUCUAUAGACUUUGGUAAACCUUCAGCCCAGUCUGAGGUCCUGAGCACUUUGGAGAAAACACUACCACAGCAUGAUGCUGCCACCACACUUCACUGUUGGGACUGUAUUGAACAGGUUAAACUCUACUGACCAGGCUGGCUGUGAGAGAAGGUGCAGAUUUUCCCAAGGUCUGCGAGCGCAUGCGCACAAGGUUGGUGGUCUCCGAGCUUGAGGCUGACCAUGACUGCUGGGCAUAUGGCAACAGUGCUAAACUGGAGCCAAGAGAAGAAACCUCUGGGUUGCUGAACUUGCGGAAGGACACGGAGGGGGGAAAGAGGAUAUUAUCCGGCUGGAAGAAAGAGAAGAUCAACAUGAAGUUCAAUCUGGCAAUCAUUACAGGAAUAGGAGUGUUUACAACAGAUGUAACACAGGGCUGCAUAUCAAGUACUGACAAACCUUUACAUUUAUCAUUAUUUAAUAGCUUGCAUUGGUUCUAAGACGUUCUUCCUGUAUUCAGCUAACACUGCUGUUAUUUUGUUAAACUGUUAAAUACCUGCGAAUGUAAUUUUACAUUGACUAAAUUUUCAACCUUAACAUCUGAUACUGUUAAAUCCCCCACCGUGUUAUCGCUGUAAUUGUUGUUUUAUUUAUAUAAAUGCCAUGUUAUAUAACCAACUAUUUCCUCCACUUUCAGUUAAUUUCUGGCUACCCUUUCACCCCUUCCAGCUCACAAUGAACAAAACAAGCUUUUUUCUCUUUCUCUCGUGCAGAUGAAACAUUUGCAUGCAGGCACAACUAAGGGCUUUUUCCACCUCAAGUGAUUAUAUGUUAAAUAGAAACAUUGUUGGAGAAAUCAAAGACAACUGUUUAUAAAGAAUGUAGAUUGGGCAGAAUCUAAAUAAAUCUGUUACUGCAAUA